rnacentral:rRNA from 1 species
AGCGGCGGACGGGUGAGUAAUGCGUAGGAAUCUACCCUUUAGUGGGGGAUAGCCCGGAGAAAUCCGGAUUAAUACCGCAUGAGCUCUUCGGAGGAAAGUGGGGGAUCUUUGGACCUCACGCUGAAGGAUGAGCCUACGUUGGAUUAGCUAGUUGGUGGGGUAAAGGCCUACCAAGGCGACGAUCCAUAGCUGGUCUGAGAGGAUGAUCAGCCACACCGGGACUGAGACACGGCCCGGACUCCUACGGGAGGCAGCAGUGGGGAAUAUUGGACAAUGGGCGAAAGCCUGAUCCAGCCAUGCCGCGUGUGUGAAGAAGGCUCUAGGGUUGUAAAGCACUUUAAGCAGGGAAGAAACGCUGUUGGUUAAUACCCAUCAGUACUGACGGUACCUGCAGAAUAAGCACCGGCUAACUCCGUGCCAGCAGCCGCGGUAAUACGGAGGGUGCAAGCGUUAAUCGGAUUUACUGGGCGUAAAGCGUGCGUAGGCGGCUACGUAAGUCAGUUGUGAAAGCCCCGGGCUUAACCUGGGAACUGCAAUUGAUACUGCGUGGCUAGAAUUCGGUAGAGGAAGGUGGAACUCCAGGUGUAGCGGUGAAAUGCGUAGAUAUCUGGAAGAACAUCAAUGGCGAAGGCAACCUUCUGGGCCUGAAU